CGGACGGGUGGGUAAUGUCUGGGAAACUGCCUGAUGGAGGGGGGUAACUACUGGAAACGGUAGCUAAUACCGCAUAACGUCGCAAGACCAAGAGGGGACCUUCGGGCCUCUUGCCAUCGGAUGUGCCCAGAUGGGAUUAGCUAGUAGGUGGGGUAACGGCUCACCUAGGCGACGAUCCCUAGCUGGUCUGAGAGGAUGACCAGCCACACUGGAACUGAGACACGGUCCAG
rnacentral:rRNA from 1 species